UCCCUGCUAGACCUUGGUUAGAUUUCUUCUGCCUGGUUCUUACCUAAACGGCCUUCUGCCUGCACAAUGCUUGCCUUUUCUGCAUCCUGGGAUCACAACAACAGCCGACAUGCGGCAUUGUCACAGUUUUGGUAGCAGCUUCAUCCAGAGUCCUGUUAUUACAGGGUAGAAUUUGAAGGAAUGAUCAAAUAUGUCUGCCAGGUUGUAGCAAAAUAGCUGAAGAGGAGAAUAUGGACCUCUCUGCUCAAAUUAACUCGUGCAAAAUGGGACUGACCAAGUGAGUGGAGUGUAAUUUGCAGCCAUUUUUAAGGAUUCUGACUUCUAAAAAAAGGAUUUGGUCGGCGUUUUAAUGGAGAAAAUCUAAAAGACUCUACCCAAAUUAGGAGCACCCUCAAGGGGAGAAAUACUGAGCCGGACCCUGCAGAAAAACGGAGAAAGAAGUGCAGACAUGGCAGUCAAUAAUGACAGAAAGAUAAGGAGGUUCCGCCUUGGCAGCCAUCAAACAUUCAUCCUGCUCAUUUCCAUAUCAAGGGACAUCGCCGUUCAUUGGACUCGGAGCAGGGUCGCGGGGGGUGCUGGAGCCUAUCUCAGCUGCAUUCGGGCGGAAGGCGGGGUACACCCUGGACAAGUCGCCACCUCAUCGCAGGGCCAACACAGAUAGACAGACAACAUUCACACUCACAUUCACACACUAGGGCCAAUUUAGUGUUACCAAUCAACCUAUCCCCAAAAAGUUAAAGUCCCAACG